rnacentral:lncRNA from 1 species
AUUUCAUACGUAAUUUCAGUAACAACAAUACUAAGCAGUUUCAGUUGAUCUGUUUUUAUAUUGACCUGCCACUAUACCUUCUGUAGUGACGACUUUCAGGUGAGUAGGACCUGUCUCUCCCUUGGUAGUAAGGUGAAUAGGACCGGUCUCUUCCUCUGUAGUAGGGUGAGUAUGAUCUGUCACGUGCUCUGUAGCAAGGCGAGUAUGACCUGGAUCUGGACCUGUACCUCCGUCUGUAGUAAGGUGAUCUGUCCCGUGCUCUAUAGUAAGGCGAGUAGGAUCUGGACCUGGACCGGUCUCUUCGCCUGUAGUAAGGUGAGUAUGAUCUCUCGCGUCUCCUGUAGUAACGAUCAACAGGCGAUGGAGAUCUCGAAGGAGAGUAAGAUCUGCCUCGC